rnacentral:ribozyme from 13 species
AAGGAAGAGUCAAAAAGAAAACAGCACGAAAUUGAGAAUCAAAUGAAGAUUCAUCUGUCAAAUCACGAACCAACUGUCUCAAAGUUGUGUACCCCUCUUUUUCUCCUUUUUCUUUCUCUUUUUCCUUCUCUUUUUCCUUCUCU